CUUUGUUUCUAUUUUGUUGGUUUGAGAAAUGAAGUAAUGAUUAAUAGGGAUAGUUGGGGGCAUUAGUAUUCCAUUGUCAGAGGUGAAAUUCUUGGAUUUAUGAAAGACUAACUUCUGCGAAAGCAUUUGCCAAGGAUGUUUUCAUUAAUCAAGAACGAAAGUCAGGGGAUCGAAGACGAUCAGAUACCGUCGUAGUCUUGACCAUAAACUAUGCCGACUAGGGAUCGGGCAAUGUUAUUUUAUUGACAUGCUCGGCACCUUAUGAGAAAUCAAAGUUUUUGGGUUCCGGGGGGAGUAUGGUCGCAAGGCUGAAACUUAAAGGAAUUGACGGAAGGGCACCACCAGGAGUGGAGCCUGCGGCUUAAUUUGACUCAACACGGGGAAACUCAC
rnacentral:rRNA from 1 species